GUCUUUAAGAUUAAUUUUUAAAGUCCAAUCUGCCCACUGAUUAUUUGAAGGGCUGCAGUAUAAUGACUGUACAAAGGUAGCAUAAUCAAUAGUUUCUUAAUUGGAAACUGGAAUGAAUGAUUAGACGAGAAAUGGUCUUUCUUUAUAAUAAUACAUUGAAUUUAAAAUUUAAGUGAAAAUGCUUAAAUUGUUUUAAAAGACGAGAAGACCCUAUAGAUUUUUAUUUUUUGAAAAGAAUUUUUUUUUGAAGAAAAAUUUAAUUGGGGCGAUUUUGUAAUAUAAAAAUCUUAAUAUUAAAUUAACCAUAAAUAAUUGAAUUUUUUGAUCCAAAAAUUUUGAUAAAUAGAUUAAAUUACCUUAGGGAUAACAGCGUAAUUUUAUUUAAGAGUUCAUAUCUAUAAUAAAGAUUGCGACCUCGAUGUUGAAUUAAGAGCUUCAUUGGAGUAGAAAUUAAUGUUAAGUAGUCUGUUCGACUAUUAAAUUCU
rnacentral:rRNA from 1 species